rnacentral:rRNA from 1 species
GACGAACGCUGUCGGCGUGCUUAACACAUGCAAGUCGAACGGAAAGGCCCUGCUUUUGUGGGGUGCUCGAGUGGCGAACGGGUGAGUAACACGUGAGUAACCUGCCCUUGACUUUGGGAUAACUUCAGGAAACUGGGGCUAAUACCGGAUAGGAGCUCCUGCUGCAUGGUGGGGGUUGGAAAGUUUCGGCGGUUGGGGAUGGACUCGCGGCUUAUCAGCUUGUUGGUGGGGUAGUGGCUUACCAAGGCUUUGACGGGUAGCCGGCCUGAGAGGGUGACCGGCCACAUUGGGACUGAGAUACGGCCCAGACUCCUACGGGAGGCAGCAGUGGGGAAUAUUGCACAAUGGGCGGAAGCCUGAUGCAGCAACGCCGCGUGCGGGAUGACGGCCUUCGGGUUGUAAACCGCUUUCGCCUGUGACGAAGCGUGAGUGACGGUAAUGGGUAAAGAAGCACCGGCUAACUACGUGCCAGCAGCCGCGGUGAUACGUAGGGUGCGAGCGUUGUCCGGAUUUAUUGGGCGUAAAGGGCUCGUAGGUGGUUGAUCGCGUCGGAAGUGUAAUCUUGGGGCUUAACCCUGAGCGUGCUUUCGAUACGGGUUGACUUGAGGAAGGUAGGGGAGAAUGGAAUUCCUGGUGGAGCGGUGGAAUGCGCAGAUAUCAGGAGGAACACCAGUGGCGAAGGCGGUUCUCUGGGCCUUUCCUGACGCUGAGGAGCGAAAGCGUGGGGAGCGAACAGGCUUAGAUACCCUGGUAGUCCACGCUGUAAACGGUGGGUACUAGGUGUGGGGUCCAUUCCACGGGUUCCGUGCCGUAGCUAACGCUUUAAGUACCCCGCCUGGGGAGUACGGCCGCAAGGCUAAAACUCAAAGGAAUUGACGGGGCCCCGCACAAGCGGCGGAGCAUGCGGAUUAAUUCGAUGCAACGCGUAGAACCUUACCUGGGUUUGACAUGGAUCGGGAGUGCUCAGAGAUGGGUGUGCCUCUUUUGGGGUCGGUUCACAGGUGGUGCAUGCCUGUCGUCAGCUCGUGUCGUGAGAUGUUGGGUUAAGUCCCGCAACGAGCGCAACCCUUGUUCACUGUUGCCAGCACGUUAUGGUGGGGACUCAGUGGAGACCGCCGGGGACAACUCGGAGGAAGGUGGGGAUGACGUCAAGUCCUCAUGCCCCUUAUGUCCAGGGCUUCACGCAUGCUACAAUGGCUGGUACAGAGAGUGGCGAGCCUGUGAGGGUGAGCGAAUCUCGGAAAGCCGGUCUCAGUUCGGAUUGGGGUCUGCAACUCGACCUCAUGAAGUCGGAGUCGCUAGUAAUCGCAGAUCAGCAACGCUGCGGUGAAUACGUUCCCGGG